rnacentral:rRNA from 1 species
CCCUUAGAUGUUCUGGGCCGCACGCGCGCUACACUGAUGCAUUCAACGAGUCUAAAACCUGCUCUGAUAGGGGUGGGUAAUCUUUUGAAUGUGCAUCGUGAUUGGGAUAGAUGAUUGCAAUUUUUCAUCUUCAACGAGGAAUGCCUAGUAAACGCAAGUCAUCAGCUUGCAUUGAUUACGUCCCUGCCCUUUGUACACGCCGCCCGUCGCUCCUACCGAUUGAAUGAUCCGAUGAAUAUCAUGGAUUGAGGAUUAUAGCAGGUUCGCCUGUCUUGAUCUUCGAGAAGUGAAGUAAAUCUUAUCAUUUAGAGGAAGGAGAAGUCGUAACA